UUAGGCAAAUCCGGUACUCGUUAAGGCUGAGCUGUGAUGGGGAGAAGACAUUGUGUCUUCGAGUCGUUGAUUUCACACUGCCGAGAAAAGCCUCUAGAUAGAAAAUAGGUGCCCGUACCGCAAACCGACACAGGUAGUCAAGAUGAGAAUUCUAAGGUGAGCGAGCGAACUCUCGUUAAGGAACUCGGCAAAAUGACCCCGUAACUUCGGGAGAAGGGGUGCUCUUUAGGGUUAACGCCCAGAAGAGCCGCAGUGAAUAGGCCCAAGCGACUGUUUAUCAAAAACACAGGUCUCUGCUAAACCGUAAGGUGAUGUAUAGGGGCUGACGCCUGCCCGGUGCUGGAAGGUUAAGAGGAGUGGUUAGCUUCUGCGAAGCUACGAAUCGAAGCCCCAGUAAACGGCGGCCGUAACUAUAACGGUCCUAAGGUAGCGAAAUUCCUUGUCGGGUAAGUUCCGACCCGCACGAAAGGCGUAACGAUUUGGGCACUGUCUCAACGAGAGACUCGGUGAAAUCAUAGUACCUGUGAAGAUGCAGGUUACCCGCGACAGGACGGAAAGACCCCGUGGAGCUUUACUGUAGCCUGAUAUUGAAAUUCGGCACAGCUUGUACAGGAUAGGUAGGAGCCUUUGAAACGUGAGCGCUAGCUUACGUGGAGGCGCUGGUGGG
rnacentral:rRNA from 1 species